CCCUUAGAUGUUCUGGGCCGCACGCGUGCUACACUGAGUGGAUCAGCGGGCCAGGUUGCGCGAAAGCGUUUCCUAAUCUUGAAAUCCGCUCGUGAUGGGGAUUGACGGUUGCAAUUUUCUGUCAUGAACGAGGAAUACCUUGUAAGCGCGAGUCAUCAUCCCGCGCUGAAUACGUCCCUGCCCUUUGUACACACCGCCCGUCGCUCCUACCGAUUGAGUGGUCCGGUGAGGCUUUGGGAUCUGAGCGGAAAGAGCGUUUCGCUCGUUCUGCCCGGAAAACUCAGUCGAACCUUAUCAUUUAGAGGAAGGAGAAGUCGUAACA
rnacentral:rRNA from 1 species